rnacentral:rRNA from 1 species
UACUCCUACGGGAGGCAGCAGUGGGGAAUAUUGGACAAUGGACCAAGAGUCUGAUCCAGCAAUUCUGUGUGCACGAUGAAGUUUUUCGGAAUGUAAAGUGCUUUCAGUUGGGAAGAAAGAAAUGACAGUACCAACAGAAGAAGUGACGGCUAAAUACGUGCCAGCAGCCGCGGUAAUACGUAUGUCACGAGCGUUAUCCGGAUUUAUUGGGCGUAAAGCGCGUCUAGGUGGUUAUAUAAGUCUGAUGUGAAAAUGCAGGGCUCAACUCUGUAUUGCGUUGGAAACUGUAUAACUAGAGUACUGGAGAGGUAAGCGGAACUACAAGUGUAGAGGUGAAAUUCGUAGAUAUUUGUAGGAAUGCCGAUGGGGAAGCCAGCUUACUGGACAGAUACUGACGCUGAAGCGCGAAAGCGUGGGUAGCAAACAGGAUUAGAUACCCUGGUAGUCCACGCCGUAAACGAUGAUUACUAGGUGUUGGGGGUCGAACCUCAGCGCCCAAGCAAACGCGAUAAGUAAUCCGCCUGGGGAGUACGUACGCAAGUAUGAAACUCAAAGGAAUUGACGGA